rnacentral:lncRNA from 1 species
UCUUUUUCAACAUUAUUUUUUUAGCAUGUAAAUAUGAAUUGCAUUAAAUCAUCCAUAAGGUAAAGAAUUACAAAUACACUCAAUGGGUCCAAAGAAAGAAAACAACUAAACAUAUCACAACCUAAAGAGAACUAGGCUAUCUCAAGAUCCAUUGAAAAACAAUCAGUGGCUUGUAAAUAUAGGGCAGAAACCUCACCGAUGUAGGCAGGCUGAAAAUCGACUCUUUGACAGAUUGAGUUCAACUCCCAGACAAAUACAGGCAUCUAGAGCAAAUUCACAACUGCAUGCGCCAGACCAUGGGUCCUUUGAGAAUAAAGCUUCAACCACCGAGAGGUAGAAAAACAUAUCUCCCAAAAGCUAAGGCAAAACAAGAAACCGAUUCCAUCAACACAGAAAGCAAACAGCUGAGAGCCUCGACUCCGAUGCCCAUAUCACAAGAGAGAAGCAUCGGGGCUACGACAUUACAAUGUCUAAUAACUGUAGGGAUCGACUUAUGAUCGUUGUUGCAUCCUCCACUGCGAGCCCUUUAGACCUCUAGCGGCCUAGGCAUAGAAGGAAAACAACCAUCGCACCACCAGAUCUCACAAACCCUUAUCAUGCACCCCUGGAUCUGACCAAAACAACUAUUUAAAAUCAUACAACAUUCACACCAGCUUGGUAGAGGGAAAUCACCACUGGUAAGGGAGAAAUAAAACAAGCUUCCUCUAUUUGAAGGCAUGGGAACGAAUCAAAGCUACAACUCUCGUUAAACAGAGAAUCAAAAUCUUAAAAAAAAAAGAAAAAAUUUCUCUCUCUACCAAGAGGAGAGUUUUUUUUUUUUUUUCAACAUUAU